rnacentral:rRNA from 1 species
CGGCGGACGGGUGAGUAACGCGUGGGUAACCUGCCUCAUACAGGGGGAUAACAGUUGGAAACGGCUGCUAAUACCGCAUAAGCGCACAGUACCGCAUGGUACGGUGUGAAAAACUCCGGUGGUAUGAGAUGGACCCGCGUCUGAUUAGGUAGUUGGUGGGGUAACGGCCUACCAAACCGACGAUCAGUAGCCGACCUGAGAGGGUGACCGGCCACAUUGGGACUGAGACACGGCCCAA